AGCGAACGCUGGCGGCAGGCCUAACACAUGCAAGUCGAACGGAUCCUUCGGGAUUAGUGGCGGACGGGUGAGUAACACGUGGGAACGUGCCUUUUGGUUCGGAACAACUCAGGGAAACUUGAGCUAAUACCGGAUGUGCCCUUCGGGGGAAAGAUUUAUCGCCAUUAGAGCGGCCCGCGUCUGAUUAGCUUGUUGGUGAGGUAAAGGCUCACCAAGGCUACGAUCAGUAGCUGGUCNGAGAGGAUGAUCAGCCACACUGGGACUGAGACACGGCCCAGACUCCUACGGGAGGCAGCAGUGGGGAAUCUUGCGCAAUGGGCGAAAGCCUGACGCAGCCAUGCCGCGUGAAUGAUGAAGGUCUUAGGAUUGUAAAAUUCUUUCACCGGGGACGAUAAUGACGGUACCCGGAGAAGAAGCUCCGGCUAACUUCGUGCCAGCCGCCGCCGUAAG
rnacentral:rRNA from 1 species